rnacentral:rRNA from 1 species
AUUGAACGCUGGCGGCAGGCCUAACACAUGCAAGUCGAACGGUAACAGGAAUCAGCUUGCUGAUUCGCUGACGAGUGGCGGACGGGUGAGUAAUGUCUGGGAAACUGCCUGAUGGAGGGGGAUAACUACUGGAAACGGUAGCUAAUACCGCAUAACGUCGCAAGACCAAAGAGGGGGACCUUCGGGCCUCUUGCCAUCGGAUGUGCCCAGAUGGGAUUAGCUAGUAGGUGGGGUAACGGCUCACCUAUGCGACGAUCCCUAGCCGGUCUGACAGGAUGACCAGCCAAACUGGAACUGAGACACGGUCCAGACUCCUACGGGAGGCAGCAGUGGGGAAUAUUGCACAAUGGGCGCAAGGCUGAUGCAGCCAUGCCGCGUGUAUGAAGAAGGCCUUCGGGUUGUAAAGUACUUUCAGCGGGGAGGAAGGGAGUAAAGUUAAUACCUUUGCUCAUUGACGUUACCCGCAGAAGAAGCACCGGCUAACUCCGUGCCAGCAGCCGCCGUAA